ACACUACUGAGGAGUCCCAAACAGGACGAAACAGCUGUCCAGUGC
rnacentral:hammerhead_ribozyme from 1 species